rnacentral:rRNA from 1 species
GACGAACGCUGGCGGCGUGCUUACACAUGCAAGUCGAACGGUGACGGUGGAGCUUGCUCCGCCUGAUCAGUGGCGAACGGGUGAGUAACACGUGGGCAACCUGCCCCAGACUUCGGGAUAACUCCUCGAAAGAGGCGCUAAUACCGGAUACGAACUCCUUGGGCAUCCUUGGAGUUGGAAAGUUUUUCGGUCUGGGAUGGGCCCGCGGCCUAUCAGCUUGUUGGUGAGGUAACGGCUCACCAAGGCGACGACGGGUAGCCGGCCUGAGAGGGCGACCGGCCACACUGGGACUGAGACACGGCCCAGACUCCUACGGGAGGCAGCAGUGGGGAAUAUUGCGCAAUGGGCGAAAGCCUGACGCAGCAACGCCGCGUGAGGGGUGACGGCCUUCGGGUUGUAAACCUCUUUCAGCAGGGAAGAAGCGAAAGUGACGGUACCUGCAGAAGAAGCACCGGCUAACUACGUGCCAGCCGCCGCGGUAA